rnacentral:rRNA from 1 species
UACGUAGGUGGCAAGCGUUGUCCGGAUUUACUGGGCGUAAAGAGCGCGCAGGCGGUCAGAUAAGUCGAAUGUGAAAGCCCCCGGCUCAACUGGGGAGGGUCAUUCGAUACUGUUCGACUCGAAGGCAGGAGAGGGAAGCGGAAUUCCCGGUGUAGUGGUGAAAUGCGUAGAUAUCGGGAGGAACACCAGUGGCGAAGGCGGCUCUCUGGGACGGUACUGACGCUGAGACGCGAAAGCGUGGGGAGCGAACAGG